rnacentral:rRNA from 1 species
UGGUAGUNCACGCCGUAAACGAUGAGUGCUAGGUGUUAGACCCUUUCCGGGGUUUAGUGCCGCAGCUAACGCAUUAAGCACUCCGCCUGGGGAGUACGACCGCAAGGUUGAAACUCAAAGGAAUUGACGGGGGCCCGCACAAGCGGUGGAGCAUGUGGUUUAAUUCGAAGCAACGCGAAGAACCUUACCAGGUCUUGACAUCCCUCUGACCGCUCUAGAGAUAGAGUUUUCCUUCGGGACAGAGGUGACAGGUGGUGCAUGGUUGUCGUCAGCUCGUGUCGUGAGAUGUUGGGUUAAGUCCNGCAACGAGCGCAACCCCUAUUGUUAGUUGCCAUCAUUCAGUUGGGCACUCUAGCGAGACUGCCGGUAAUAAACCGGAGGAAGGUGGGGAUGACGUCAAAUCAUCAUGCCCCUUAUGACCUGGGCUACACACGUGCUACAAUGGCUGGUGCAACGAGUCGCAAGCCGGUGACGGCAAGCUAAUCUCUUAAAGCCAGUCUCAGUUCGGAUUGUAGGCUGCAACUCGCCUACAUGAAGUCGGAAUCGCUAGUAAUCGCGGAUCAGCACGCCGCGGUGAAUACGUUCCCGGGCCUUGU